rnacentral:lncRNA from 1 species
UUUCUCCACUUGGUUAAACCAUCAAAUUCGUUACCCUCCAGUGUCUCUCGCCUCCACCCACUACCGCCAACCAUCCAAACCCGCGACCCAAUAAGCCCGAAAACGGCAAAUCACUUUCUUUCUCUACAAUACGUAUACCCAAGUAUAUUAUACAGUCAGAUAUAUAUACACCAUGUCCAUGUGUUUAUGUAGCUAGGUUGUAUAACAGUAUAUUCAUACUUGUUUCCUCAAUAAUUCGUUCCCGUGUUCUUCAUUCAUUUACUAAUCACUUUGUUGUACCCAGUCAACGCGCUGUUUUUCGUUUAUCGUUUUUUUAUUCGUUUUUGGUUACAUUUAAUUUCUGUUUUUUGUUUUGGUUCGUGAAAGGAGGUACUUUUGUUGGGUAAUUGCAAUUGGGUUUUGAAGCUCCAUGCUUUUUAAAGUUAUAUUAGUUAGGGUUUGGAGUUAAUUGCAUUACUUUUUAGUGGAAUGGCUGUUGGAUAAUUUAGUGUUUUAAAUUAUCGGAUCUUUCAUGUUAAAUCAUCAAGAAAUACAAGAAUUAAAGCGGAAGCGUACCUGAAUCAGAC